GUGACCUCAAAUCAGGCAGGACUACCCGCUGAACUUAAGCAUAUCAAUAAGCGGAGGAAAAGAAACUAACAAGGAUUCCCCUAGUAACUGCGAGUGAAGCGGGAAAAGCUCAAAUUUAAAAUCUGGCAGUCUUAUGGCUGUCCGAGUUGUAAUCUAGAGAAGUGUUAUCCGCGCUGGACCGUGUACAAGUCUCCUGGAAUGGAGCAUCAUAGAGGGUGAGAAUCCCGUCUUUGACAUGGACUACCAGGGCUUUGUGAUGCGCUCUCAAAGAGUCGAGUUGUUUGGGAAUGCAGCUCAAAAUGGGUGGUAAAUUCCAUCUAAAGCUAAAUAUUGGCGAGAGACCGAUAGCGAACAAGUACCGUGAGGGAAAGAUGAAAAGAACUUUGGAAAGAGAGUUAAACAGUACGUGAAAUUGCUGAAAGGGAAACGCUUGAAGUCAGUCGCGUCAUCCAGGGAUCAACCUUGCUUUUGCUUGGUGCACUUUCUGGUUUGAUGGGUCAGCAUCAAUUUUGACCAUUGGAAAAAGGCUGAGGGAAUGUGGCAUCUUUGGAUGUGUUAUAGCCCUUGGUCACAUACAAUGGUUGGGAUUGAGGAACUCAGCACGCCGAAAGGUCGGGUUUCAACCACGUUCGUGCUAG
rnacentral:rRNA from 1 species